rnacentral:lncRNA from 1 species
AGGCUUUAAACGGGUACCGAGAAGGAUCUACUGCCUUCACACGCGCUCCUUUUAACUUAAAACACUGCUUUCACCUUAAAAGAGAAACAAGAGGAACACACGGACGCCAGAAAGAGAAUGACGGAAACGGAGGGGUCAUCUCCAGCAGGGUCCGAAUCCUCAGAUGGAACCACAGGCCACCAGGCCAGCACAGGGGCCUCCGGGAGGGUCCGCCCUGCUCCACGGCCGCAGGGGUGUGUGUGCAUCAGUGAGUGUGCCUGUGUGCAUGCAUGCCAACAGGCACACAUGCAUGUGUCCACACAAGGACGUGUGUGCAUGUGUGUGAGUGUGCAUGUGUGUGCAUGACUGUGCAUAUAUGUGCACGUGUGUGCGAGUGUGCGUGUGCAUGUGUAUAUGUGCGCAUGAGUGUGCAUGAGUGCAAGUGUGCAUGUGUGUAUGUGUGCAAGCGUGUGUGCACAUGUGCUUGUGUGUGCAUGUGUGUGCAAGUGUGCAUGUGUGCGAGUGUGCAUAUGUGCAUUGUGUGCGUGAGUGUGCGUGUGGUCCGUGUACACAUCUGUCCAUACAUGUGAGCUUGCAUGCACAUGUGCGCAUGUGAGUGUGCAUGCAUGUGUUGUGUGUGUACGUGUCUGCACGUUGGUGUGUGUAUGUGUGUGCCUGUGAGUGUGCAGAGAGGCCCUGGCGCUCGAGGAGGGCCUACAGCUCAUAGUACUCACCCGGCGGGCCCAGUUGACGAGGUCAUCCAGCUUGGCCACCACAUACUCGCCCCGGCUGCUGGGUUUGGGAGCCACGGCUCUGGCCUUUGGCAGGGCAGGCUGGGUGCUGGCACAGAGACACACGGGCACAGGAGGCGUCAGCCACGCAGGUGCUUCCCAGAGGCGGAUGCGAGCCCCCACGGCCGCUGCCAGAGGCCUGGACCCACAUGAGCAGGUCAACAGUGUCCAAGCAAGGACGGUCCCAGGAUCAUCCACAGAAGGAAACUGGCAGCAGGCCCUCCACACAUGACCAAGGAAUCUGCAGUCCGCUAAGCGGGGAGGGCGCUGCCCACGUCAAUCUACACAGAAAAGCACCCCUAGAGGAGCCAGCCUCAAAGGAAGCGCAGAGGAGGGAACGCGCCUGCACGAAGUCUCCUGGGAGAGCCUUCCCGAGGCGAAGACUAAGGCCAGAGCAGGGCCUUGCCACGCCCGGGGCACUCAGCGGGAGGAAACCUGGAGGUGCCAGGAAUCCUGGCUCACAAGGAAGAAUCCAGAAAGGCAGGCUUGGUGCUGGUGACGGCUGAACUGUGACCCUCCACCCGACCUGCAUCUGAAGCCCUAACCCCAGGACCUCAGAAUGUGACUGCUUUUGGAGAUGGGGUCUUUAAAGGGAUCACCACCACGCCCAGCUGGUUUGUUUUUGUUUUUGUUUUUGAGACGGAGUUUCACUCUUGUUGCCCAGGAUGGAGUGCAAUGGUGCAAUCUUAGCUCACUGCAACCUCCGCCUCCCGGGUUCAAGCGAUUCUCUUGCCCCAGCCCCCCAGUAGCUGCGAUUACAGGCAUGCGCCACCACACCCAGCUGAUUUUGUAUUUUUAGUAGAGACGGGGUUUCUCCAUGUUGGCCAGGCUGGUCUCGAACUCCGGACCUCAGGUGAUCCGCCCACCUUGGCCUUCCAAAGUGCUGGGAUUACAGGCGUGAGCCACCGCGCGUGGGCCAGGCAUUCUUAACAAGGGGCCUGGUGAGGAUUCAGAACUGUGAAUUUGCUUGGAAUAAAAAAAUAUAUAUGUC